UCAGGGAGAUUAUACCAUUUAACGCCCAC
rnacentral:piRNA from 1 species